rnacentral:rRNA from 1 species
GAUGAACGCUAGCGGCAGGCCUAACACAUGCAAGUCGAGGGGUAGCAGGAUUAAGCUUGCUUAAUUGCUGACGACCGGCGCACGGGUGCGUAACGCGUAUGCAACCUACCUUAUACUGGGGUAUAGCCCGGAGAAAUUCGGAUUAAUCCCCCAUAGUACUAAUGAAUCGCAUGGUUUAUUAGUUAAAGCAUUGCGGUAUAAGAUGGGCAUGCGUCCUAUUAGCUAGAUGGUGAGGUAACGGCUCACCAUGGCUACGAUAGGUAGGGGGCCUGGGGGGGUGGUCCCCCACACUGGUACUGGGACACGGACCAGACUCCUACGGGAGGCAGCAGUGAGGAAUAUUGGUCAAUGGGCGCAAGCCUGAACCAGCCAUGCCGCGUGCAGGAAGAAUGCCCUAUGGGUUGUAAACUGCUUUUAUUUGGGAAUAAACCUCUUUACGUGUAGAGAGCUGAAGGUACCAAAUGAAUAAACACCGGCUAACUCCGUGCCAGCCGCCGCCGUAA